CAAACCUUCACUGCAAACUCCUGUUGUACAAGUGGCCAGAUUAAAUAUGAAGACUUUCAUUUUGCUGAUGUGUCUCAUUGGAAUGAGCCUGGCUCUUUCAACUGAGGAAGAGCAUGAACCUUCUUCACUUACAGCACAUCACCGAGUUGCACGUUCCAGUUCCGAAUCCAGAGAGGGCCGCCGUAUACAACCAAUGUUGAAUAUGGCCGAUCUUAUCGCACUCCUCCUGAGACUCCUGCCCCCCGCUGCUGCUCCGGCAGUCCCUGCUACUACCAAUGGCUAACCUGGAUGGGAGACCAUACCUCUCCAUACCCGCACCAAUCAGGAACUCCAGGAAUCAGUCUACAGUCCAGAUAUCACAUAAAUAGACUGAAAUCAACAUAGGCUAAUGAUAUCCACCAUUGGAAAUCUCUGUUUCUUCAUCUAUAUGUCAAAAUCUGGUCAGAAUUAUAGCUUACUUCAGUUCUUUCCUUUUAUCCCUGUUAGUUGAAAAAUGGUUACAGUAGAAUAAACUUCAUC